rnacentral:rRNA from 1 species
UACGGGGGGGGCAAGCGUUGUUCGGAUUUACUGGGCGUAAAGGGCGCGUAGGCGGCAUGUUAAGUCAGCUGUGAAAUCUCCGAGCUUAACUCGGAACUGUCAGCUGAUACUGAUGUGCUAGAGUGCAGAAGGGGCAAUCGGAAUUCUUGGUGUAGCGGUGAAAUGCGUAGAUAUCGGGAGGAACACCAGUGGCGAAGGCGACUACCUGGCCUGUUCUUGACGCUGAGGCGCGAAAGCUAGGGGAGCAAACGGG